CUUGGGAAAGGUGCAUAAUGUGUUCCAUGUAUCCCAACUAAAGAGAUAUGUGCCCGAUAAGUCUCACGUAUUAGAUCCCGAGAUUAUAGAAGUGGAUGAGACGCUUUCUUUUGAAGAGAGACCAGUAAAGAUCUUGGACUCUAAGGUGAGGAGUACAAGAAAUAAAGAUAUAAAAUACUCAAGGUUUUGUGGUCUAACCAGCGUACCGAAGAGGCUACCUGGGAGGCUGAAGACGAGAUGAGAAAGAAGUAUCCUGAGCUCUUCGACUAGGAAGAUCUUGCAAAUAUCAAAGGGAAGCAAAGAGGUUUCAAGAAUAAUUAAAGCCAGUCAAACUUUUGACUGUUGAUUUUUGUGUAAUCAAGAGUUUAGAGAAGAAGUUUCAGGUACAAGUUCUUGAUGUGCAUGGAAAUCAUAAGCAUCCGGAUGGGAGUUUUAGUACACGAGUACUUUCUUAUUUAAGUUAUCUUGAAUUUUAUAUUUGACUUUACUUGACCAAUGGGGUCAAGGUUUGACUUUUGAAUAUGGGACUAGUAUGGGAUAGUCUCGGAAUUUGUAAUUCAUUUACAUACUUUCUUAUUUCCGUUGUAUUAAAGUAUUUUCAGUUUAUCUUAAAAGACUUCCGCUGUAUUAUCUGAUUAGCCUUACGUAUUAUCAUGCGUGGCAUAACAACUCCCGCAAUUUCUCCUAGUUUAUAAAAGG